CCGAAAGGAUAGCUAAUACCGCAUACGUCCUGAGGGAGAAAGGCGGGGGAUCGCAAGACCUCGCGCGAUUGGAGCGGCCGAUAUCGGAUUAGCUAGUUGGUGGGGUAAAGGCUCACCAAGGCGACGAUCCGUAGCGGGUCUGAGAGGACGACCCGCCACACUGGAACUGAGACACGGUCCAGACUCCGUACGGGAGGCAGCAGGUGGGGUAAGUUUUGGACAAUGGGGGCAAACCCUGAUCCAGCCAUUCCGCGUGAGUGAAGAAGGCCUUCGGGUUGUAAAGCUCUUUCAGCAGGAACGAAACGGUGGUCCCUAAUACGGACUACUAAUGACGGUACCUGAAGAAGAAGCACCGGCUAACUACGUG
rnacentral:rRNA from 1 species